GAUGAAGAACGCAGCGAAAUGCGAUACGUAAUGUGAAUUGCAGAAUUCAGUGAAUCAUCGAAUCUUUGAACGCACAUUGCGCCCGCCAGCACUCUGGCGGGCAUGCCUGUUCGAGCGUCAUUUCAACCAUCAAGCCCCAGGCUUGCGUUGGAGCCCUGAGGCUGCCGCAGCCUCCUAAAAGCAGUGGCGGGCUCGCUAUCACACCGAGUGCAGUAGAUUACUCUUCGCUCAGGGCGUGCAGCGGGUUCCGGCCGUGAAACCCCCUACUUUUAAAGGUUGACCUCGGAUCAGGUAGGAAUACCCGCUGAACUUAAGCAUAUCAAUAAGCGGAGGA
rnacentral:misc_RNA from 1 species